rnacentral:rRNA from 1 species
UACGUAGGGGGCAAGCGUUGUCCGGAAUUAUUGGGCGUAAAGGGCGCGUAGGCGGCUCUGCACGUCCGUUGUGAAAUCGCCCGGCUCAACUGGGCGGGGUCAGCGGAUACGGCAGAGCUUGAGCAAGCUAGGGGGCAAUGGAAUUCCCGGUGUAGUGGUGGAAUGCGUAGAUAUCGGGAGGAACACCAGUGGCGAAGGCGGUUGCCUGGGGCUUUGCUGACGCUGAUGCGCGAAAGCGUGGGGAGCGAUCCGG